UACGUAGGUGGCAAGCGUUGUCCGGAUUUAUUGGGUUUAAAGGGUGCGUAGGCGGUCUAUUAAGUCAGUGCUGAAAUAUCCCGGCUUAACCGGGAGGGUGGCAUUGAUACUGAUGGACUUGAGUGCAGUCGAGGUAGGCGGAAUUGACGGUGUAGCGGUGAAAUGCUUAGAUAUCGUCAAGAACACCGAUAGUGAAGACAGCUUACUAGACUGUAACUGACGCUGAGGCACGAAAGUGUGGGGAUCAAACAGGA
rnacentral:rRNA from 1 species